rnacentral:rRNA from 1 species
GACGAACGCUGGCGGCGUGCUUAACACAUGCAAGUCGAACGCACAGCGAAAGGUGCUUGCACCUUUCAAGUGAGUGGCGAACGGGUGAGUAACACGUGGACAACCUGCCUCAAGGCUGGGGAUAACAUUUGGAAACAGAUGCUAAUACCGAAUAAAACUUAGUGUCGCAUGACACAAAGUUAAAAGGCGCUUUGGCGUCACCUAGAGAUGGAUCCGCGGUGCAUUAGUUAGUUGGUGGGGUAAAGGCCUACCAAGACAAUGAUGCAUAGCCGAGUUGAGAGACUGAUCGGCCACAUUGGGACUGAGACACGGCCCAAACUCCUACGGGAGGCUGCAGUAGGGAAUCUUCCUCAAUGGGCGAAAGCCUGAUGGAGCAACGCCGCGUGUGUGAUGAAGGCUUUCGGGUCGUAAAGCACUGUUGUAUGGGAAGAACAGCUAGAAUAGGGAAUGAUUUUAGUUUGACGGUACCAUACCAGAAAGGGACGGCUAAAUACGUGCCAGCAGCCGCCGUAA